AUAAACGGGUCGCGCCGGGCUCUCGCGUCUCCGGAGCUGUCGGGGAGAAAACAAGUUUGUUUUUUUAUUGUUUUGUUUUGUUUUGUUUUUAAAGCAGGCAAAGCUCCGAUGCUGCGAGGGACCUGCCCUUUCGAUUUCAUUUUAAUUGCAUGUUCCUAGAAGUCCCGGACGCGGAGCCAAAGACACUUCAGUUUUGAGGGGAGAGGAAGAGACUUCAAGUUUCUAUCUUCUUAAAGAAAUACUUGUGCGAUUUCCUCUUAGAGGAGAAAAUUAAACGCCACGCUCGGACGUUUCUUACAAUGCCUAGUUGAAUCACAUGCCCAUCUUGACUGAGUCCUGCUCUACAUGUUGGAACAAGUGUUGAGCUAAGUGAUGGAAAGGGAAACUGCAUGCUUUUACAUGGAUGAAGAAUACAUGGUAAGAGUAUUUUUUAACCAUGUGAAGUUCAAAAACUUUUGGAUAGGAAAUAUUAGAAAAUGUAACAUAAAAUACAAGGAAAACAUGUUUGUAUAUGCUGAAACAAGUCAGCCAUUGUACAAAUAUUUUUAAAUAUCUUUUCUGUGUGAAGUAACUAUAUUGUGAUAAAGAAGAUAGUUUUUGUCCUCACAAAAUUUAUAUAUCUCAGAGACUAAGAGUUAUAUACCAGAUAUAUAAAUGAUAUUCAAAAUCAUAAGGGAAAAAAUUCACAGCCAAUAGAAGAAGAGCAAAAGGGAGAUGACAAAAAGUAUUGCUAAUGGUCAAUAAAUACAGGAAAAGAUAUUUAGUCUCUGUAGGCAAUUUCACUCAAACAAAGCCAGUGAGUGUUUGUUAAUGGCUUAAUUAAAAAAUAAAACUCCAGGGUUGGCAUGGUAGAUACACUGACAUUCUUAUAUCCUGGGAGUGGGAGUAUAAUUGGUAUGAGCUUCCUGUGAAGCAGCUUAACAACAUGUAUUGGAAUUUUAAAUAUGCGAACUGUUGGACCCAGAUAUUCUACUCCUAAAGAAAUAAUUGGACACAUAUUUGAAGAUGUAUAC